GAUCCGUUUUCAUACGAAGAGAACACAUUCAGGAAGUUCUUUCGAUUUCCCAAAUCUUUGUGCCGGGAUCUCAUUAAUCAACUCAAGCCAUAUGACCAACAGCAAACAUCGAUUCCAUUUGAACUUCGGAUUAUUUCAGUUUUAUAUUUUUUAUGCAAUGGCUCAUAUCAGUGUUGCGUGGUGUAACGUGGCUUUUACCACCUUACAAUAAUUUACGUCAACUUACCUCACUACGAUGUUGAACGCCGCUAGAGCCUUCCACCGUGUACCCGCACCAUACGCACACAAUUUACCUCACUACGAUAUUGAACGCUGCUAGAGCCUUACAUCAUGUACCCGCACCAUAAGCACACAACUUACCUCACUACGAUGUUGAAAGCUGCUAGAGCUUUCCACCAUACGUCCUAACGCACCAUACGCAUACUUACCUCGCUACGGUGACGAAAGCUGCGCUGUGCUGUUAUAUAAGCAAGCACUUCACAUCGAGUGCGAUCAUUCCUUCCAGCACUCUGGCGAGGACGGUCGCCAUCGACAGCAUCAGACAGGGGUAAGUUAAAAACAAUAGAAGUAGGAAGUAGAAGUAGGCAGUAUGGGGUAGAAAAUCGCGCAGAAAAGGCAUCAUGCCAUUGCUCGCGAUGACUGCCCUAUACAGUAGUUGAGGGAAUGCGCAGGCCUCGCGCAGAAAAGGCAUCACCGCCGGGUGAUGCCAGUGCUCGCGAUGGCCCUGCCCAGUAGUUGAGGGAUCGCAGGCCUCGCGCAGAAAAGGCAUCACCGCCGGGUGAUGCCAGUGCUCGCGAUGGCUUUGCCCGGUAGUUGGGGGAAUUCGCGUGCCUUGCGCAGCAAAGGCAUCACCGCUGGGUGAUGCCAAUGCUCGCGAUGGCACUGCCGUAGCCGCGUCGAGAACACGUGGCGUCAGUACCGCUGCUUACGGGACCGUUAUUAAAAACUAACGCGACUGACAGGCGACAUGGAAUGUAAGGACAAUGCAAGACAGUCAAUAGUGGGAGGUCAACCAACACAGUACGCUGACAAUUAUAUCUCUCCUUCGCAGAGGAGCCCCGGAAAACACUACCCGAUUCAACAAACGUCAACGCCUGACAGGCUAAUUUCAUCCGUUUUCAUCAUCGCCGCAUACAUCGCCGUGCCAGCUUCACCAAGCGUCAACGCCUGGCUCGUCAAUUUCACUCGCUUUUAUCACUCGCUUACAUCACGCUGGUCUGGUUGUCCACUGAAAGAUGGGUGUGAACACUUCAUCUAUUGAAUUAGAUCUUUUAUUUGCUAAGGGUUUGUGGGUCCCAAGGCUGACCAUGGAGCGGCUGAGCAUACCUCAGCUAUGAAAGAAACCCCAUUACAGUGGGAAAUGCAUAUUUCGCGGUGAUGAGCCAAUCAACCAUUUCCCGUUGUAUCGAAUAUAUUUGUAAAUUGGUGGUGGAGCGUAAACACGGCGAAGUGUGUUUUCCUAAUUCUGUUGAAGAAUAUAAUAGAAUUAAGACUGGGUAAGUUGUUUUCCAAUUUAAAAGAAAAUAAAUCGCUAUUCAACAAUUUUAUUCCAGAUUUUACUCGAAAUUUGGAAUAGAAGGUGUAAUUGGAGCAAUUGAUUGUACUAAUGUUGGCAUAAUUGCACCUGCCUUGUCAAACACAGUUGUACCGCCUGAUUAUCAGGCAGGUUCUGUGAUUCACUUCCGAGUGAAUAUCAAGCAAAUUCACUUUCAAUCCGACAUUUGGUGUUCUAUGUUCCACUUCCCCCGUUUCAUUUCCACAUUUUUUUCAAAAAUGAACUUCGAGUGAAUAUGCGUGUUCUAGAAAACGAAUUCACAAGAAAUUUGUCGGUUUGCAUUCACUUCAAUUCAAACUUGGGAAUUUGUUUGCGCAAAUAUGUAAGUGUAAUUAAAUGUUUAAAUUUUGCACAAAAAAGGAUUAAAAAUAGUUAAUUUUGAUUAUAAAAAAUAUUGUUAAUUGAAAUGUCUUAUUUUUAAAGGGGAAAACAUAAGAAUCCAGAGCAGGAUGCAAUAAUUAUACAAUUCAUGGAAGCCCAUAAAGACAUCGCCCGUGGCUUUGUAAAAGGCGAUAAAGUCAAAAGCGAUGCGCUUUUGAAGCAGUUUGCAGCGGAGCUUAACAAACAUGGCCCACCAGAAAAAGAUAUUUCCGGCUGGAAAAAGGUUUGGAUGGAUUGGAAGUCCUUUAUCAGGAAAAAAGUUGCCCACAAUAAUUCCGAAGCUAGAGCAACUGGGGGAGGGCCGUUUAACAAGCACACGUUAACAGCAACAGAAGAUAAAAUUGCCCAGUUGUGUGGCAUAUAUACCGUAGUGGGCGGCAUCGAAAAAACGGCUGACUUUAGUGCUCCUCAAAAUUCUGAGGAGAUGACAGGCAAUUCAAGCGACGAUUAAGACGCAGAAUUGCCAUGCACAAGCAGUGCCGCCCUCUCAACGCCAUCUCGCAGACGCCAGCUUGGGGGGUCUGACUGCCUUAGGGCAAAUGUUAAUGAGCAGACUGUGGCCAUGAAAACCCUUGUGCAUGGGCUAGAGGAAAAUGUUGGCGCCACGAGGGAAGUUAGUGCGGGCCUUAAAAGCGUGUGUGAUGCCGUGAAAGAAUUGACCAUCGCCGUUAAAGAAAAUACGGCCGUGAACAUGCGUCACCACCUA